GUCCCUGUAGCGCAAUGACUAUCGUGUUGGACGUCUAAUCCAGAGGUCGUGGGUUCAAAUUUCACCUGGGAUG